rnacentral:lncRNA from 10 species
ACCUUGUCGCUGUAAUCCCUCAGGACCCGCUCGAUAGCCCCUGCUUCGCCGGCCCGGACGAUGUAGAGGGCGCGCUCCUCAUCCAUGGCCGCAGGUGCGGGGGAGCCGCGGCCGCUCUGCGCGCCCAAGCCGCUGCCUCCAGAAAAGAAAAGCAAGAACUGAGGCUGAGAAUGUGCACGUGGUGGUGGUAACUAUGCAGACAGAGUUUCCUGAGGAGGAGAAUGGGAGAAGACUAACCCUCACAAAUGCACAGUUGAUGUUAUGAUGAGGGGACGCAGGGUGCUUAACCUGUAUUUGAUCCGUUAACAGUACAAAUACAAACUUGGGAAGGAAGCAACUACCAUGUGCUACUUAAUCCACACAACGAUCCAGGGAGGAAGAACUGUCACCUCUAUUUUGAAGAUGAAGAAAUGGACACAGAGCGCCCGACAGAUGAAGAAACUGAAGUAUGGGAAGGAUAAGCAACUUGUCCAAGGCCACACAGCUGGUAAGAGGUGGAGCCAGGAUCACUAAAAAUAAUCACUGAAAGGGAGAUCCAUUUAGGUUCAAGACAAGGGAUUCUCUUUUGC